AAUACUAGGGCCCCGAAAAUGAAUGGCGCAUAUAGUACUACCGAUCUCAGACAUCAGUUCUAUUGAACUGAGAGUAGGGGGAUGUGGACAUUUUUGUGAAGGUGCAAUGUGAGUUGGACUGGAAGAAUGUCUAUUACAGAUCCUAAUUGAAGUAGCGAUUAUCCAGGCUUGUAUCCUGGGGGCUGAUGAGGAGUAGGGUUUCUGGACAACUUAAACAGAUCCAGAGUUAGUCGAUCCUAAUCUCAAUAAUGGGAGAAAGGGAGUACAGUUGAUAUUCUGUAACUGACAACAGUUCGCGGCAACGCAUACUAUUUUUCUCCGCCAAUCUUAUACCGUUGGUAGGGAUCUCUUUCCUACAUGACAGUACUAAUACCCAGGGAAACUGGUCAUCAGGCGAACUGCGGCGUUCUGCUGGCAAAACAUAGCUUCGGUUAUGUCAAUGGCUAUUGGAUUGGUCCAUGAAGCGAAAAAUAGUUUACUGUGUCACUCGUACCGAUAACCGCAUCAGGUCUUCUAGGUAAGUAGCCUAUGGCCAUUGAGGCAUGAUAGUUCAGGGAAUUCGGCCAAUUAGAGCUGUAACUUCGGGAUAAAGCUUGGCUCUGAUGAAAAUCAGAACCGAUUGUUACGCGGAGAGCCCAACUGUUUAAUAAAAACGUAGUGUCGCGCUGUGGUAGUAUAGCCAGUGAACGCGACAUGAAUCCUGCUCAGUGCUGUGUCUGUUAAUAUGGUUCAAGCCAAGGAAGCACCGGUAAAUAGCUGGGGUAACUAUGACUCUUAUCAAAGUAGCGAAAUACCUCGUCACUUAAUUAGUGACCUGCAUGAACGGAGCUAGGAGGUUCUCACUGUCCCAAACUGUCUCUCAGCGAACCAACUGUAGUGGGAACGGUCACUAGAUAUCCAGCGGGGAAAGAAGACCCUGUAGAGCUUCACUUUGGUCUAGUCUUGUAUAGUUCCUGCGGGGGUGUAGACUAGGUGGGAGAGCAAUCGAUUCUGAAAAACCACUACCCUGUUUGGAAUUAUGCUUACCUAUCACAAGGAAUAGGACUAGAUAGAAAGUUUGGCUGGGGCGGCACACCUUCGAAAGAGCAGCGAAGGUGUCCUAAGUUGAGCUCAGUGAGGACAGAAAUCUCACGUUGAGGAUAAGGCCAAAAGCUCAAUUUACUGUGCCUUUUUGUACUAGGAUCAGUUACGAAAGUAAGGCCUAACGAUCCCUAAAUAGCCUCAGGUGCGUGAGGAUUGGGGUGACAGACAAGUUACCUCCGGGACAACUGGCUUGUGGCUGCUAAGAGAUCAAAUCAACGCAGCUUUUUGAUUCUUCGAUGUCGGCUCUUCCUAUCCUAGUGAUGUACAAGUUGCUAAGGGUCGGAUUGUUCACCCGUAUUAGGGAUCGUGAGCUGGGUUUAGACCGUCGUGAGCCAGGUUUGUUUUAUCCUACUGGAUAUAGCAUCAUGAUAGUAGAUUGAUUUAGUACGAGAGGAAC
rnacentral:ncRNA from 2 species